CACCGCGGUUAUACGAGAGGCCCAAGUUGAUAAACGCCGGCGUAAAACGUGGUUCGUGCACUACGAUACUAAAGCUUAACAUCUUCAACGCUGUUAUACGCAUUCGAAGCCAGGAAGCCCUCCAACGAAAGUAGCUUUACAUGACACUACUCCACGAAAGCUAGGAAA
rnacentral:rRNA from 1 species